rnacentral:rRNA from 1 species
UACGUAGGGUGCGAGCGUUAAUCGGAAUUACUGGGCGUAAAGCGUGCGCAGGCGGUUUUGUAAGCCAGGUGUGAAAUCCUCGGGCUCAACCUGGGAAUGGCAUUUGGGACUGCAAGGCUGGAGUGCGGCAGAGGAGACUGGAAUUCCUGGUGUAGCAGUGAAAUGCGUAGAUAUCAGGAGGAACACCGGUGGCGAAGGCGGGUCUCUGGGCCGAUACUGACGCUGAGGAGCGAAAGCGUGGGGAGCGAACAGG